GCAUUUGUCGAAUCCUUGUGGGACACCCUGUAUAAUAACAAAACUUGGUAUUGGUUCACAAUUAAUAUAAAUCAAGUAAAUACCUUAACACAAAAUAAAAUCCUUUACCUAAAUGAAAAAAAAAAAAAACGUAUUUUAUUUCUAGGUACAUUGACUGCUUCAAAAAGGAACAUAUUGAAUUAUAUUUAGUCAGUGGUAUUAAUCUGAUAAUAGUAUAGACUGUAAACAUUUGACAUUUCUGAAAAUCAAUAUUGAGAAAUUAAUUUUUAAAUUCCAGAAAAAUAUCAAAAUCCCUGACUUUCCUGACCAAUUUUAAAUCCUGUCUUUUUUAGGUUUUCCAGGUGUGGUGACAAUGUACAAAUUUAUAGUGAGUUUUUAAUCGGCUUUCAGUCUUUGAACCAUCCCAUGUGACAUUUAAAAUAAAAUAAAUAUUAUAAUAUUUAAACUUUUUCAAAUAAUAGUGAAAAUAGUUCCAUUCAUUUUGACAACUAUAAUUUUCGUUAUUUUAGCACUAUUAAAUAUUAUGGUGAUAUUGUUUGGCAAUGCAUGCA